rnacentral:rRNA from 1 species
UACAGAGGGUGCAAGCGUUAAUCGGAAUUACUGGGCGUAAAGCGCGCGUAGGCGGCUUUUUAAGUCGGAUGUGAAAGCCCCGGGCUCAACCUGGGAAUUGCAUACGAUACUGGAAGACUAGAGUAUGGUAGAGGGAAGUGGAAUUUCCGGUGUAGCGGUGAAAUGCGUAGAUAUCGGAAGGAACACCAGUGGCGAAGGCGGCUUUCUGGACCAAUACUGACGCUGAGGGACGAAAGCGUGGGGAGCGAACAGG